GAGGGGGAGGCCUCGGACUUCUCUCUGGCCUGGGAUUCCUCCGUGACAGCCUCAGGAGGCCUGGACGGAG